UACGUAGGUGGCUAGCGUUGUUCGGAAUUACUGGGCGUAAAGCGCUCGCAGGCGGUUCCUCAAGUCUGAUGUGAAAGCCCACGGCUCAACCGUGGAGGGUCAUUGGAAACUGGGGAACUUGAGUGCAGAAGAGGAGAGUGGAAUUCCACGUGUAGCGGUGAAAUGCGUAGAGAUGUGGAGGAACACCAGUAGCGAAGGCGGCUCUCUGGUCUGUAACUGACGCUGAGGAGCGAAAGCGUGGGGAGCAAACAGG
rnacentral:misc_RNA from 1 species